UUUCUUUAUGAAUUAAGUCGUUUUUCUUAGCGAGAAAUUGCUCCAAACUGGAAUUUAUUGAUUCUAGCAAGGAGCUAGUGUUUGGUAGACGGUAAGUGAACAGCUGUGUGUAUGUUUAUGUUGGAAGAUAUUAGCAUUCUGGAGUGAUGCUUUGCUAUAAUUCAUUUUAAUAAACUAAUUAAUUAUAUUCAAAUAUUUUUCUUUCUUUUCAAAACGUAAUCAUGCUUGAGUAUAUAGCGCCAAGAAGUUUUGAAAGGCUGGCACAGCCGACAUACACAUAUACACCUCAACCAAAAGCACUUUAGCUUAGCUGAAUGGUUGGGAUUUAGAAACCCCAAACUUCAAAAUCUUUAAGUAACUCCAAAUUCCAGAUAUUCCAAUUUUUUUUUAUUUUAAUUGAUUAGAAAAUUUUUUUUUAUAAAUUGUUCUAGCUACUGACUUUAAGAGUAUGAAUUCAAGAUUAUACUAUGACUACGGUAUAAACAUGGUCACUUAAUAACUUAUAUUCAAAAGAUGAAUAGCAAACUAAACUAACAACAAUCACAUGUGUAAACAGGAUUCCAGAACGAACGCCAAGGAUUGAGACAAACAAAGAUAGUUACAAACCAAGAUUUUUAUACAAAUAUAAAUAUGUAGGUUCCGACCUCCAUUUAACGAGCAUACAAAAGCUACAAAGAAACCCAUAAUUAUCGGACGAAGAGUCAAAGAAAAAAGUUUGACAUAAACAGAUUAUAAAAAAACAAAUAUAUGCCUAAUCGGACGAAUUGAAACAAAUUAACUCUAUAAU